GGGUGGCCAUUUUAUCAGUUUAGGGGGUCGGAGCGGCAACUGGAUGCAUUAGUCCACGCGUUCUUUAUUUUUUAUUACUUUACAUUGCGUGUUUUAAUCACAAUCGGUAGAUAAUCAAGUAUAGUCGAUGAGUAGGUGUUUGCACACGGUGACAAUUGGCGGGAACAGGGUGCGACGCUACGAGCCAUACAUUUCUAUCGUGCGCGCGGUUAGCAAGUAGCUUAGCUGAGCUAGUGGCACACCGCAUUAUUUGACGACAGUCGCUCGUAAACAAUAGACAUCAGACUUGUUGCCAACUGAUUUGUGGUUGUGUUUACUUCUGAGGUCUUUCCGGUGUACUAGUUUCGGUUUCAGCCCCGUUUGUUGUCUUAUAGCUGAAUUAUUGAUCUGCUCUGAAGCUGUUAGCACAGCUCGCGCUCUCAGUGUAAGGUUAAACAUGACGGAGUGUUACAUUCGCGUCGCGGAGGACGAGAACGAGGAGCCGAUGGAGAUCCCGUCCGAGGAGGACGGCACCGUGCUGCUCUCCACCGUCUCCGCGCAGUUUCCCGGUGCCUGCGGCCUUAGAUACCGUAGCCCCGUGUCUCAGUGCAUGAGAGGGGUCCGACUAGUAGAGGGGGUUCUUCAUGCACCCGAAUCAGACUGGGGCAAUCUGGUGUAUGUGGUCAAUUAUCCAAAAGAUAACAAGAGGAAGAUGGAUGAAAUGGAUGCUGCAUCAGCUGUGAAGAUCAAGAGAGGUGUGCAGAAGACAUCAGAUUUGAUUGUGCUUGGGUUGCCAUGGAAAACAACAGAGCAAGACCUUAAAGAUUACUUCGGCACUUUUGGAGAGGUGAUCAUGGUGCAGGUGAAAAGAGAUGCAAAAACCGGAAAUUCCAAAGGAUUUGGCUUUGUAAGAUUUACAGACUACGAAACACAAAUAAAAGCCAUGUCCCAGCGGCAUAUGAUUGAUGGAAGAUGGUGCGACUGCAAACUUCCCAACUCAAAGUAUUUCCUGGAACAGGCUGGUCCGGAUGAGCCUAUGAGAAGCAGGAAAGUAUUUGUGGGCCGCUGCACUGAGGACAUGACAACCGAUGAGCUUAGACAGUUUUUUAUGCAGUACGGCGAAGUCACAGAUGUGUUCAUUCCCAAACCUUUCCGAGCCUUUGCCUUCGUCACCUUUGCCGACGAUCAGGUUGCCCAGUCUCUGUGCGGUGAGGACCUGAUCAUUAAAGGAACCAGCGUGCACAUCUCCAACGCUGAGCCUAAGCACAAUAAUAUUCAUCACCUCUUUUCCAAUUUGCCGGGAAGAAGCCCCUCGUUGGCCGCAAUGUUCGAGCGAUCUCAGUAUCAGUUCCCUUCUUCCCAUGUGUAAAUGCUUUGCCAUGAAAGAGCACAGCUUCACUCUGCAUAUACUGUGUUAGACGGGACGUUGGACUCGGCUGGCCCAGGUUUACCUCAGAACCCUGAGUGAAGUCACUAAUGGGAGAGCUGAAGACUGAAGUUCACACAGUCCAUCUGUGGAGACUGCUGCUGUAUGCCUUUAACCUGAAAAGGGACUACGUCACUUCACUGUAACCAGAUUUCCCUGGAUUUCCCUUUUUGAAAUUUCAAUGGACGAUUCCCAAGUGGCCGGAGUGCAUGACUAAAGACAGUCCAUGGCAAUCUAAAAGCAGAGUUAAACCAGUGUGUUUGUGGAUCAGUCCCAUUGCGAAUGACUUCAUGUCCAUGCUCGUGUAUUUCCAGCUCUGUUUUACGCAAGACGUCAAUGCGGUCAUUGAUCUUGCUUUUAAGUCUUUCUUCUGUUUGAUUGAUUUUACAUGAUCUAUCCCACUGUAAAUAUAGUUUAGUGAAAGCUGAAAAGGCCUAUUUUUCAUACACUGUCCUGUUGUGGGUAAACAUAGGAUUU